UUUCAUAGUGUUUCCAUGACAUUUCAUACGCUUUCAUCACCAAACAUUAUCUAAUCAUGUAAAAAUUGAUGACAUAUACAAAAGCUUUCAAAAUCGAGAAGCGAUCAAAAUUUACUUGAAAUUUCAUGUUUUAGACUGUGGUGUCUAGUUUCUCUUUGAGAAUUUAUAAUCCAAGAUAAACUAAGCCCAAUAAAUCGAAAAGAAUACUGCUGUAUUUAAAACAGCUUUUAAUGAAGACGAAUACUUUAACCAAAAUUAUUAAUCUACUAAUGGUGUCCUUUUCAAACUUUCAGUUAUUAUAUUAAGUUCACUUUUCGUUUUAUGUUAGGAUCACAGAAUUCACCGAUAUUGCCUCAAAAUCCAGCUGAAUACAACUGCAUUAUACAAGAGCUUAAAGUACGAACUGAAACUGAAACAAAAUGAGAAGUAAAACAAAAGAGAAUUUGCUCGGCAGAAUAUUUCUCACUUUGAGUCAGCUCUUGCACCUGGCGUUAUCUCUCGUUAGGUGCCUUCAUGACCACUAUCAGCAGAUGUUUGUGAUGUUUUAAAGCUUUGUGACUUCAAGUAACUGUAACUGAUGAAAAAGGGACAUUUAUGGUCAGCAUUCCCAAGGGCCUACCACGGUUACAUGAAACUACGGAUAACAACAGAACAAGAUAGUCAUAUAAUGUAUAUAAAUUCUGUGAAGUUUUAUAGGGAAAUUUACCACAACAAGGGAUUAUCAACACUAAUGAAUGAUAAUACAAUAUACCAUAUAUUAUUUUACUACAGUGUACUGUUAAUAUAUGGGUUGUACAGAAAUAAUUGACACAACGGCUUUCGCAACGAAACUAUAGCACUAUACGAAGGGAAAACAAGUGAAAUAAACACAAGGGGACGUGAGCUACUCAGAAUGAAUAGAUGGAGCUGGUCGCAAGCCCGAACUGUAUAAGUCAGUGCCCGUCCCUUUCGCCGUCGUCAUUGAAAGAGUGGACAGCAAUGAUGGAAGGUGAUUUAUCACGGUCAACGUUGGACAGCGUGGUUCCUAUGGAAGGAAAGGAUACAGGGUAGUGAGACCGAUCGUCGCAUGGUGUCGGUGUACGCGAACAAAACACUCUCAAGGCGUACCUUAUCCCGUUGGUUGGCCAAGUUCAGCAAUGGUGUGGAGAUCACAGCCAAAGAUGUCAGCACGGGACGAUCAGAUGAUCAGCAACAUCACAUACAGCAGUAAAUGUCGCAGUCGUGUCGGAUUUGAUCAUGCCGAACAGGCGCAUUACGUUCAACAAGAUGCAGCAAGAGACCGAGGUUGCGCAAGGAUCAUUGCAGGCGAUUGUGCAUGGUGAUUUGUACAAGGCAAAUGUGUGUGCAAAGUGGGUGGACUCGGACCUCGAACCAAGACCACGGACUACGCCAUGCUUAACAACAUGAAGGACGCAGUCAGGGGCCAACAGUUUGAAUCUUCUGCAGAAUUGCAUGCAAUUGUCCAUAGGUGGUGCACCAACACACUGGUUAACCAAAACCCUUCGGGACCUCCAGCCAGAUGGCAGAAGUAUAUUGAUAUGAGCGGGAAUUAUUUCUAAGUGAUGUCCUACUAUCAGUUUUUUGUUAAUAAAUUGUA
rnacentral:lncRNA from 1 species